rnacentral:rRNA from 1 species
AAUGGCUUACCAAGGCGAUGACGGGUAGGGGACCUGAGAGGGUGGCCCCCCACAAUGGAACUGAAACACGGUCCAUACACCUACGGGUGGCAGCAGUAGGGAAUAUUGCAAAUGGGCGAAAGCCUGAUGUAGCAACGCCGCGUGUGCGAUGAAGGUCUUCGGAUUGUAAAGCACUUUUUGGAGGGAUGAGGAAGGACAGUACCUCCAGAAUAAGCCUCGGCUAACUACGUGCCAGCAGCCGCGGUAACACGUAGGAGGCAAGCGUUAUUCGGAUUUACUGGGCGUAAAGCGCGUGCAGGCGGUUUGGAAAGUUGGAUGUGAAAGCUCCUGGCUCAACUGGGAGAGGUCGUUCAAUACUUCCAGACUUGAGAGUGGUAGAGGGAGGUGGAAUUCCGGGUGUAGUGGUGAAAUGCGUAGAUAUCCGGAGGAACACCAGUGGCGAAAGCGGCCUCCUGGACCACUUCUGACGCUCAGACGCGAAAGCUAGGGUAGCAAACGGGAUUAGAGACCCCGGU